rfam:Micromonas pusilla CCMP1545 genomic scaffold MICPTCscaffold_3, whole genome shotgun sequence.
UCGCGAUGAGGAAGAAAUAUCCGCGCUUCUGAACGCUUCGGCUCUGAAGCACAAAACGAUAUUAUGGUUGAAUUUCUUCAACUGAGCGA